rnacentral:rRNA from 1 species
UACGGAGGAUCCAAGCGUUAUCCGGAUUUAUUGGGUUUAAAGGGUGCGCAGGCGGAAUGAUAAGUCAGUGGUGAAAUCUUACGGCUCAACUGUAAAACUGCCAUUGAUACUGUCGUUCUUGAGUAUAGUUGAAGUGGGCGGAAUGUGUCAUGUAGCGGUGAAAUGCAUAGAUAUGACACAGAACACCGAUUGCGAAGGCAGCUCACUAAACUGUAACUGACGCUCAUGCACGAAAGCGUGGGGAGCAAACAGGAUUAGAUACCCUGGUAGUCCACGCCGUAAACGAUGAUCACUCGAUGUUGGCGAUACACAGUCAGCGUCUGAGCGAAAGCAUUAAGUGAUCCACCUGGGGAGUACGAUCGCAAGGUUG